ensembl:lncRNA
CCUCGACCACUCGGGCCGAGUUUCCUCCCCUUCAGGUUCUUUUUUACAUACAUGUACAUAUCUGCAUAGGAGAUGUCUUUGGGACCAUCGGUUCUCUUCACGCAGCUGGCCUGGAAUCUGAGACAGAUCACUGGAACACUCUGGGUCUGUGUUUUUCUUGAUUGGAAGAGGGAAUUUUGAACUUGACACCAUUUCUGCUCUGACCCUUCAUAUGGUGGGUGAGAAUAAUGGAAACAAGGAGAAUGUGGCAAACCCAAGCCCAACAUUCUUCUGACUCAUAUGGAAUCACAAAACAAGGCAGAAAAAUGGCUGUAAGUGCCUGUCCACUAUCUGGGGGCUUUGUGCCAUCGGAUAAAAUUGUGAGGUUAAAUGGCUACCAAAUCAUCAUAUCAUCUGAGAAUAUGUCUGCUUGGUUUGGGCUCAGAUCCCAGGCUAGGAGUGUCUAAACCACAGUCUAUACUUAGUUUAAGUUAGCCAGUGGAAAAGCAUCUGUAUCAGCAUUAAUAUGCCCGACUAAAGUGUCUCAAAGCUUAUAGAAAAUAUUUCUUUCCACAAGAGACUGAUAUAUAUGUAUAUAUGUGGUGGGCAAAACUCAGUAUACUAACCACAGGCCUUUCAGAUUACUCAAGAGGGCCACAGUUGAAGAAAAAGAGAAGGAAAAAACAAAACAAAACCUGACAACAAUUCCAUACACUGCAGCAUUUGGCUGAAUAGGUCAGCAGGAUGUGGAAACUUGUUUUGAGGUUAUUUUGUAUUCUCACCCAGGAUCCCACUGCUUAAUAGCUGUGUGGUUCUUUGCUGGCUAUAUACUGAAUUUAUGAAGGAUGUUGUGAGAGUAAGUUCUAGGAAUUCUGAUAUUUUGAAAUUUGUUGUGCUUUUGUUAACCACAGUGAAACGUUACAUUUGUGGCUUUCUAUACAACUUUCAUUUAUUUGGUUCUGGUUAUGAAAAAACUUAAUGAAGCUUCAUCAGUUCUGUGUAUUUCAGAAAUCAUGGUGGGGACUUCCCUGGUGGUAUAGUGGAUAGGAAUUCACCUGCCAAUGCAGAGACCAAGGGCUUGAUUCCUGAUCUGGGAAGAUCCCACACGCCACGGAGCAACUAAGCCCAUGUCCCGCAACUACUGAGCCCUGCACACCUAGAGCCUGUGCUCCACAAAAGAGAAGCCACCUCCAUGAGAAGCCUGUGCACUGCAACUAGAGGAAGCUGGAGAAAGCAACGAAGACCCAGUGCAACAACAACAAACAAGAUUUUUUUUAAUGUGAUGGCGGGAAGCAUUUACAUGUGGUUGUUGUUUCAUUUCAACUAUUCUUCAAAAACGGGGGCGAGAAAAGCCAAGUUCUCUAGUUUUCAUAUAAAGAUGACUCAAUUUAUUUGAAAAUGAGUGUUCCAGAAUCAGACUUCCAGAUUCCAUGAAUUCAGAGUGUGGAAAAGGACACGCAGCUCCCUUUAGCUGUAACAGGAGACAGUCUUUUAAAAGCCUGGAAUGCUGAAGCUCUCUUACACUGAAAACAUGUUAGGACAUGCCUUCUUGGGAUGCUACCAAGUGGUUUAGGCUCUGAAUUCUACAUUCUGUACUUUUGAAGUUGUUUUCUGUUGGCAGACAACCUCUUGAUUAUUCUCAUGUGAUGAGUGUUCAGGCCAACCUCUCCCGUUCCAAGUAAUUAAAAGAUAGCAACAAACUCAUACUCUGUCAAGUAUCUACACUUUAGCAUAAAGUUGUGGGUUGUGUGAGUGCUGGGCUUAUAGUGAUCAAUUCUAUGAGCUUUGUCAUUUGUUCAGUCAGUAAGUUGUGUCCAACUCUUUGCAAACCCAUGGACUAUAGCACUCCAGGCUUCCCUGUCUUUCAAUAUCUCCCCGAGUUUGCUCAAACUCGUGUCCAUCGAAUCGGUGAUACUAUCCAACCAUCUCAUCCUCUGUCAUCCCCUUCUCUUGCCUUCAGUCUUUCCCAGCAUCAGUUAAAAAUCAUACACACACUACCUGCUACUGCUGCUGCUAAGUCACUUCAGUCGUGUCCGACUCUUAGCGACCCCAUGGACUGCAGCCCACCAGGCUCCUCCGUCCAUGGGAUUUUCCAGGCAAGAGUACUGGAGUGGGGUGCCAUCGCCUUCUCUGACACACUACCUAGACUGCUUUAUUCUCUAAAGCUUACUCCUGCUGUUUGAAAGUGUCACCAUGUUAAGGAAUGAAAAAUUAUAGCGACUGGGGAAAAGUUUUCACCUUUUUUCAUUUCCCUAGUAAAAUUAAGCAAUAAUUUUCAUUCCCCUCAGCUCCUUUUGGAACCAAGGCUAGCAGUGGAUUAAAGGACAAAUAAAUGAAUGAACAAGUCUAUGGUGUUUCUUUCUUCUGCCUCAGAAAGAUGCGGUUUCUUCUGCCAGCAGGAGAAACAGGACUCCUGCUGACACUUCCAGUCGUCCUCAGAAAAGCCAUUGAGCUACCCUUGGGUUGAAUGAAUGAGAACUUUCUGGAGAGCGGAAGACUGGUGGAGGUCCAGCUGGAAAAACAUAUGGCCGCAGAGGCAGAAAGAGCGCUUCUUCAGGAUUGACUGCCUCCAAUGUACCUGGACCGAAGCCAGUGCUGCAUCCUCAGGCGCCCCUAGGGAUUGUGCGUGCAGGACGGCACCACCUCACAGCCCCGCUCUGAGGUCCGGAUUCCACGCCCACUACCCACCGCCUCCCACUCUCCCACUCCCCUACCCUCACUGGGGCCAGGAGAUGGCGGCCCAUUGUGCCUUCUGAAAGAAAACAAAGUUUGCAAAUCACUGUAGACUGUCUUAUAAUAGGUAGGUCAGGAGGGAAAAUGACUAUGGUAAAUUCUCGUCUUAACCACACAUGACCUCAGCACAUUUUUGAGCUGCACAGUGACACAGAAUGAACUGAAGGAGAAAAACCAGGCAGUCUGGGUUCCAGACCAGGACACCACGAGGAGCUGACUUUUACAGAUAUGGGAGCUGUUGCUGCUCUUCCUGGAAUCUCUGCUGCUGCUGCUGCUGCUGCUGCUGCUGCUGCUGCUGCUAACUUGCUUCAGUCGUGUCCGACUCUGUGCGACCCCAUGGACUGCAGCCACCCAAGCUCCUCCGUCCAUGGAAUCUCUGCUACAGGGACAUAAACUCUUUAAGAUUGCCUGACUUAUCAUCCAUCCUUUUCUUCAUUUGAGACUUGAAAUUCGAACUGUGGUGCUGGAGAAGACUCUUGAGAGUCCCUGGGACAGCAAGAUCAAACCAGUCAGUCCUAAAGGAAAUCAACCCUGAAUAUUCAUUGGAAGGACUGAUGUUGAAGCUGAAGCUCCAGUACACUGGCUACCUGAUGCGAAGAGCAGACUCAUUGAAAAAGACCCUGAUGCUGGGCAAGAUUGAAGGCAGGAGGAGAAGUGGGUAACAGAGGAUGAAAUGAUUGGAUGACAUCACUGACUCAACAGACAUGAGUUUGAGCAAACUCCGGAAGAUAGUGAAGGACAGGAAAGCUUGGUGUGCUGCAGUUCAUUGGGUCACAAAGAAUCAGAUACGACUGAGUGACUGAACAAUAACAAUAGUUAAACUGAAUCUCCCAAAUAAAUAAAUAAAUAGAACCUGUUUCAGGUUUCCAACUUGUGUGUGUGUGUGUGUGUGUGGCAUUUUUAAAGUCUGAAUUUCACUUUAUUUGGAAAAUAGACUUAAGAAUUAAGUCCCCCAAGUAUCAAAACCACACACGAUUUAUCUGAAAACAAUUGCUCUUGGGAUGUGUAAGAUGCCUUUUCACAAGUGAAUCAUAUUAUCUGAGAGGUAGAACCCCAGAAGAUGUAUUUAAAAAAUAAAGUUUCUGUCUCAA